rnacentral:rRNA from 1 species
GUCGAGCGGAUGACGRGAGCUUGCUCCUUGAUUCAGCGGCGGACGGGUGAGUAAUGCCUAGGAAUCUGCCUGGUAGUGGGGGACAACGUUUCGAAAGGAACGCUAAUACCGCAUACGUCCUACGGGAGAAAGCAGGGGACCUUCGGGCCUUGCGCUAUCAGAUGAGCCUAGGUCGGAUUAGCUAGUUGGUGGGGUAAUGGCUCACCAAGGCGACGAUCCGUAACUGGUCUGAGAGGAUGAUCAGUCACACUGGAACUGAGACACGGUCCAGACUCCUACGGGAGGCAGCAGUGGGGAAUAUUGGACAAUGGGCGAAAGCCUGAUCCAGCCAUGCCGCGUGUGUGAAGAAGGUCUUCGGAUUGUAAAGCACUUUAAGUUGGGAGGAAGGGCAGUAAGCUAAUACCUUGCUGUUUUGACGUUACCGACAGAAUAAGCACCGGCUAACUCUGUGCCAGCAGCCGCGGUAAUACAGAGGGUGCAAGCGUUAAUCGGAAUUACUGGGCGUAAAGCGCGCGUAGGUGGUUCGUUAAGUUGGAUGUGAAAGCCCCGGGCUCAACCUGGGAACUGCAUCCAAAACUGGCGAGCUAGAGUACGGUAGAGGGUGGUGGAAUUUCCUGUGUAGCGGUGAAAUGCGUAGAUAUAGGAAGGAACACCAGUGGCGAAGGCGACCACCUGGACUGAUACUGACACUGAGGUGCGAAAGCGUGGGGAGCAAACAGGAUUAGAUACCCUGGUAGUCCACGCCGUAAACGAUGUCAACUAGCCGUUGGAAUCCUUGAGAUUUUAGUGGCGCAGCUAACGCAUUAAGUUGACCGCCUGGGGAGUACGGCCGCAAGGUUAAAACUCAAAUGAAUUGACGGGGGCCCGCACAAGCGGUGGAGCAUGUGGUUUAAUUCAAAGCAACGCGAAGAACCUUACCAGGCCUUGACAUGCAGAGAACUUUCCAGAGAUGGAUUGAUGCCUUCGGGAACUCUGACACAGGUGCUGCAUGGCUGUCUUCAGCUCGUGUCG